GAGUGAAAUGGACGUAUAGCGAAACGAAAAGCUAUAUACAAUUGUCGUAAUACAAGAUGAUAUAGAUCUCCAUAGAGGAAACUCAAUUAUAAAUUUUACCUAGUGAAUUGAAACAUCUUAGUAACUAGAGGAAAAAAAAUCAACCGAGACUCCGUUAGUAGUGGUGAGCGAAAGCGGAAUAGGCCAAAUCAAUAUUUUAAACACAACUCUGUGAAACAUGUAAUCUAUAUUGUUGUAGCAAAUCCAAGUAAUUUGAAAUAACACGCCAUAGAAGGUUAAAGCCCUGUGUAUUUCAUGUAUUUAUGUUAUUAAAAUUUACAGAGAAAGUUUUAAUUUCAUUUAAUAAAUUUCAUUUAUUUUACAUGAACUGUGAAGCAAUAUAUAUAUUGAUAAUAUAGUAUUCUUUUAGAGAUACUAUAUAGUUUGAGUAGAACGAGAACAAACUUGUUUGAAAAUAGGGGGACCACCCUCUAAGCCUAAGUACGCACUCUUGAUCGAUAGUGAACUAGUACCGUGAGGGAAAGGUGAAAAAGAAGUGAAAUAAAUACUGAAACUGGAUGUAUACAAGCACUCAAAGCUUUGUAACUUAUUUAUAUUUAAAUAAGCUGUUUAACAACAACACAGAGUAAUGGGGUACCUUUUGUAUAAUGGGUCAACGAGUAAAUAAAUGAAGCAAGCUUAAGCGACUAAGUGGAGGCGUAGUAAAAACGCUAAUAAAUUAGAUUUAUUUUAUAAAUUUCAUUUAUUUUAACAAGUGUCAUUUAUUUGACCCGAAACCGAGUGAUCUAGUCAUGAACAGGUUGAAAAAAUGCUAACACGUUUUGGAGGACCGAAUUCACGUCUGUGGCAAUAGACGGAAAUGAUUUGUGACUAGGGGUGAAAAGCCAAUCGAACUCGGAGAUAGCUGGUUUUCUGCGAAAUUUAUUUAGGUAAAGUCUAGAAUAUAUAUAACAAGGGGGUAGAGCAACUCGCUGGGUAAGGGUGGCCCAAAGCCUUACUAAAUCCAAGGAAACUCCUAAUACCUUGUUAUACUCUCCUAGAAUCAGACUUUGGGCGCUAAGGUCCAAAGUCGAAAGGGAAACAGCCCAGAUCGAACGCUAAGGUUCCAAAGCGUAUAUUUAGUGGUAAAGGAGGUUAUUGAGCCCAGACAACCAGCAAGUAGGCUUAGAAGCAGCCAUCUUAUAAUGAAAGCGUAGUAGCUCACUGGUCUAUAUAGUUAUACAUUUUUAUUAAUGUAUAGGCUCAAUAGCGCCGAAAAUGUAACGGAGCUCAAGUAUACCACCGAAGCGGCGGCUAUAUAUAGUAAAUCAAAAACUACUAUUUAUAGGGUAGCAGAACGUUCUGUAAGUAGGUUUAUAAUAAAUACGUAAGCAUUUAUUUAUAUAUCAGAAGUGAGAAUGUUGACAUGAGUAACGUAAAAUCAUGUGUGAUUCAUGAUCGCCGAAAAUCCAGUGUUUUCUACAAACUAGAAUUUAAUGUAGAGUUAAUCGGCCCCUAAGUGUUUCUAGCGAUUGCUAUAACAUAAUGGGUACAAGAAUUUAAAAUUUCUUGAUGUAUACUAUAUUACGAAUAGUACCUAUUUUAAAAGAUAAACGGAUUUCUUUUGAAAUAUACCUAUUCCAGGAAAAAAGUAGUAGCUUGUUUCUUUAAUUAGAAAUAAGAUUUAGACACCGUACUUUCCGACACUGGAGGAUGAGUAGAAUAUACUAAGGCGUAGAGAGAACCAUAUUAAAGGAACUCGGCAAAUUGCCUCCGUAACUUCGGGAUAAGGAGGACCAUGUAGAAAUACCUGUUAUAGGUAUUUAAGUGGUGGCACAAAAUAGGGAGUAACGACUGUUUAAUAAAAACACAGGACUCUGCAAAGCGGUAACGCGACGUAUAGGGUCUGACACCUGCCCGGUGCUGGAAACUUAAGUGGAGAGGUUUGAUGCUGUUUUAUUUGCAAAAAUAAAACAAAUUCCAGCUUUUAAAUUAAUGUCCAGUAAACGGCGGCUGUAACUCUAACAGUCCUAAGGUAGCGAAAUUCAUUGCCGGGUAAGUUCCGGCCUGCAUGAAUGGUGUAACGAUUACUCCGCUGUCUCUAAUAUGGUCUCAGUGAAAUUGAAUUCUCCGUGAAGAUGCGGAGUUCCCCAAAGUAGACGGAAAGACCCUAAGCAUCUUUACUGCAACUUUACGUUGAAAAAGGAUAUUGAUUGUAGAGGAUAGGUGGGAGCCUUGAUAAAAAAAGGCAACCUUGAAAUACCACCCUUUCUAUAUUGUUUUUCUAAGCACAGCAACAGCGUAUAGUGGGUAGUUUGACUGGGGCGGUCGUUUUCUAAAAAGUAACGAAAACGUGCGAAGGUAAGCUCAAGCUGGAAGGAAAUCAGCUGUAGAGCGUAAUGGUAUAAGCUUGCCUGACUGUGAGACUUACAAGUCAAACAGAGACGAAAGUCGGCCAUAGUGACCCGGGAGUACUUCGUGGAAAGGCUCUCGCUCAACGGAUCAAAGAUACGCUAGGGAUUCAAAGUUUGUAGUCCCGCUUUGUAGCGAUACAAGGGCAAUAACUGGGUGAAUUGCAAGAAGGCUAAGGUAAAAUAAAACCGAUUGGUUUAAUAUUUACUAUGCUAAUUUGCAGCGAAGUUCUUCGAAUAGGCUCUAAAAAAAAUGUAGAAGAAAACGUUCAACGACUAGAGAAUGAGGAUUUCUUACCAAUAAUUUCUCCACGAGCGCCCAGCAACUUAAAAAAACAAACAUGUUAUAUAAAUCAUUAUGUGGUAAAGUAUUAAAAAAUUAUAAAUUAUGGAUGAUGGAAGUAAAUUAUGUUAUAAUAAGGAUUAUCCUCGUAAAGGGUUUGUCCUUAAUACGCAAGGAUUUAAAACAGCUGAUGUCAUUUUAGCAUCUCAAGAAAUUUUUGUUAAAUUUAAUAUAAUUACAAAAAUAAGAUAAAAUAAAAAUUUCGCAGUAAUUGUUAUACCUGCCAUUCAUCACUAUAAAUUUGUAAACUACAUAAAACCUUAUAUUGUUCCAUCUAUGAUUUAUAAAAUAACACUUUAAAAGUUGAUGACAUAGUCUGAACUAUAUAGAAAUAUAUAGAAGUAAAAUAUAAACAAUUUUACGAUAACACAAUUGAACAGGCUAAUGAUUCCCAAGAGCUCUUAUCGACGGAAUCGUUUGGCACCUCAAAUCGGGGUCUUAUUUUGGCAACAAGAUAAUGCUAUUUGGCUGUAUGCUGGAACAUCCGGGGUAUCUAAAAUCAUAUGCUCAUAAUAAAUUUUAAAGAGCAUAUAAAAGUAUUUUAGUGCGGACAAUCAGCAGGGAAGUUGACUCUAUCGAGUUUAACCCCUCAACGACUACACGCCGAACAUCUUAUUAUAAUAAUGAGAUGAUGAUAUAGUCUGAUCUUUUAGGCGACUAAAAGGCUAUUUUAUUUCUAAAAACAAAGAAUAAAAUAGCAUUGAAUAUUUUCUUGUAUAAUAAAAUACAAGUAGAAGAGUAAAAUUAUGAAAAGGUUAACUAAUACCCAACGUGAAGUUUUGAUUGGUAUACUUUUAGGAGAUGCUAGUUUACAAACAUUUAAUAAUGGUAUUACUUACCGAUUGCGUGUUUUACAAAAAAACCAAGAAUAUUGUAAACAUUUAUAUAAUAUAUUUCAAAAUUUUGUAACAACCCCUCCAAAAUCUAUAACAACAAAAAAGGGAGAAACAAGAUGGUAUUUUAAUACUUUAAUAAAUCCGUGUUUUAGGUUUUAUGGACACCAAUUUUACUGUCAAGAUAGUAAAAAAAAAGUCAUUAAAAAAAUACCAAAGUCGAUUCAUAAAUGGUUAACACCAUGCAGUAUAGCUUAUUGGUUUAUGGAUGAUGGUUUUACAAAAUGGAAAAAACACUCAAAAGCUAUUCGGUUUUGCACUGAUAACUUUUCAAAAAGAGAAGUUCAACUUCUUUGUGAUGUUUUUAUUGAAAAAUAUAAAAUAAAAGCUAAACCACAAAAGCAUAGAAAAAAUCAUUAUCGAGUCUAUAUCUUAGAAGAAUCUGGAUUAGAUUUAAAAAACAUUAUUUUUCCUUUACUUCGAGAUGAAAUGUUAUAUAAAUGUCCAGAAAAAUGGUAUAAUUAAUAUUCAAUUAACAUAUAUGCGAUGUCGACUCGUCACAUCCUCGAGCUGCAGAAGGUUCGAAGGGUUCGGCUGUUCGCCGAUUAAAGUGGUACGUGAGUUGGGUUUAAUACGUCGUAAAGAGUCUUGCGACCUUAAGGAGCAAUCCUUAUGUAAAAAUUGCCUCAUAACGGUGAAGUCCUAAUAGUAGCCUCAUACACUCAUUAGGGGAAUACCGUGGGAAGUCUAUAAUAAAAAUAAAAAAUGAAUAAAGAAAAAGAUAAAAAAGAAGGAUACUAUCAAAUAAAAACAAUAGAUAAACCUUCUCGUGCUAUUAUAACGCAAAGAGUGCAUUCUAUUAUUUUUGGUUCAUUAUUAGGAGAUGGUCAUUGUCGGCCAACUGGAAAUUUGGCUUUUGGUUUUGGUCCUAAAAAUGAAGAAUAUGCGAGAUGGCUCGCUAAGGAAUUAGAAUCUGUUCGAUCUACUACUCCAGUAGCUAAAAGGGCUUAUACUGAUAAGCGGAAUAUGAAAAUAUAUGAAUCUUAUACAUUCGAAACUUAUCGUCUGUUCCAUGAUUAUAGACGCUUAUUUUAUGUACCUCAUAUAGAAAGUGGGGAAGUGGAUGGUAUAGGUAAUCCAUAUUUGGUACCUACUGAUUUAUAUAAAUAUCAAGAGGGGGAAGAAGAAUUUCCUCAUAUUAUAGAUUCUGAUGGAGUUAGGAAAAAAAUUUACUUUGUAAAAAGGGUGCCUCUUAGCUUAAAGAAAAAAUUAGACGUUUUAGCUUUAGCUAUUUGGUAUAUGGACGAUGGAGGUAGAUCCGGAGGAGGUACUAAAAAUUGUGUUUUUAUAACCUUAGAUGGGUUUACUUGGGAAGAAGGUGAUUUUAUACAAUCUGUUAUAAAAGACAAUUUUGGGAUUGAUGGUAGACAUAAUAAAGCUGGAUUUAGUACAAGGUCAAGACGUCGUCAACAUAGACUGACUAUUCCAUUCAAGGAAUAUCCUAAAUUUUAUGAAUUGCUAUAUCCAAUAGUAUCACAAAUACCCUCUAUGAUGAAGAAACUUCCCCCAGUUACUCCAAGAAAAAUACUUGAGCCUAAACCUAUAAAAAGAAGCAAAAAAAUUAUUUUACCUAUUUCACCUGAAGAGUAAUAAUAACUUUUUAUUAUUGUCAUUUUUAAAAUUAUUUUGACCCCGUAACGACUUUAAUUCUAUAUCUAGAAUUAAGAUAUCUUUUCAAAUUAAAGAUAUAACACGGCAACUCUUAUUAUAAUAAUAAGAUGAAGGUAUAGUCUAGACCUUAAGUAAUUAGGGAUUUGUCUAAGCGAUUAGAACUUAUUUCAAACUUUAAUAAAUUUAACACGUUUGGGUACGAGGAGACAGUGUGUAUCCUAUCUUAUUGGGGUGUAAAAAAACUGACAGGACGAUUUCUUUGUACGAGAGGACCGGAAAUCACGAACCUCUUGUGUAUCAGUUGUUAUGCCAAUAGCAUAGCUGAGUAGCUACGUUCGGACUAGAGAACCGCUGAAAGCAUCUCAAGUGGGAAACUAACCUGAAAACAAGUUUUUAGUAUCGUAGAAGACUACUACGUUAAUAGGUGGAAUGUGUAAAAAUAGCAAUAUUCCAAUUUUAUUUCUAGUUUUUAACAAAAAAUAAAAGAGCAAAUCCAUACUAAACUCUAUUUUAAAUAUUAUUU
rnacentral:rRNA from 1 species